GCUCCGGUAGCCUAGUGAUUAGAGCGUCUGCUUCAGGUUGCGGGAGGUCGCGGGUUCGAACACCGGCCGAGUCC